UCUCGAUUCGUCUAGUGGUUAGGAUACCUGCUUGUCAUUUCCCCUAAUUAUUCGGGAUUCGAGCUCGCAGGUGGCCGGGGUUCAAUUCCCCGAUCGGGAG